rnacentral:rRNA from 1 species
AGCAGCCGCGGUAAUACGUAGGGGGCAAGCGUUGUCCGGAUUUAUUGGGCGUAAAGAGCUCGUAGGCGGUUUGGUAAGUCUGGUGUGAAAUCUCCACGCUCAACGUGGAGGGGCCACCCGAUACUGCCAUGACUGGAGUCCGGUAGAGGAGUGUGGAGUUCCCGGUGUAGCGGUGAAAUGCGCAGAUAUCGGGAGGAACACCCGUAGCGAAGGCGGCACUCUGGGCCGGUACUGACGCUGAGGAGCGAAAGCGUGGGGAGCAAACAGGAUUAGAUACCCUGGUAGUCCACGCCGUAAACGUUGGGCACUAGGUGUGGGGCUCUAUCGACGGGUUCCGUGCCGAGGCUAACGCAUUAAGUGCCCCGCCUGGGGAGUACGGCCGCAAGGCUAAAACUCAAAGGAAUGA